rnacentral:lncRNA from 1 species
GCCCAGGUCUGAGGGACUGUGUGCAUGGAUCUUCCUGAAGACACGCCUUCUGAGAUCACCCUCAGUCCCCUGACUGAGUGACCAGCCACUUGCUUGCCUACUUCCUAUAGUUCUUCCAUGUGUGUCGAUCCAGGGCAGUAGAAAUAUUUACUUCCCUGAGACCUAAAGAAUCUCCCAGAAGAUGGCCUCCAGGCCUCGGGCGUGCUGUAACUGCCUGCUCAGGUAGAGGUGCAUUUACUGAUGCUGCAGAUGCUGAAUGAAAAUGUGGUGACUCCAACUUCCAGAAGCCCCGCAUGAGUGCAGCAAGGGGUGACUCCAACUUCCAGAAGCCCCACGUGAAUGCAGCAAGGGGUGACUCCAACUUCCAGAAGCCCUGCAUGAGUGCAGCAAGGGGUGACUCCAACUUCCAGAAGCCCCGCAUGAGUGCAGCAAGGGGUGACUCCAACUUCCAGAAGCCCCACAUGAACGCAGCAAGGGGUGACUCCAACUUCCAGAAGCCCCACAUGAACGCAGCAAGGGGUGACUCCAACUUCCAGAAGCCCCACGUGAAUGCAGCAAGGGGUGACUCCACUUCCAGAAGCCCCGUGUGAACGCAGCAAGGGGUGACUCCAACUUCCAGAAGCCCCACGUGAAUGCAGCAAGGGGUGACUCCAACUUCUAGAAGCCCCGCAUGAAUGCAGCAAGGGGUGACUCCAACUUCCAGAAGCCCCAUGUGAAUGCAGCAAGGGGUGGGUUUUGUACAUUUAAACAAAACUAUGCAAUUGGACAGAUGGAUUACCAAGGAGACUAAAAAUAUAUUCUUUGACUUUGGGAAUUGCCUACCAAAGUAAUUUCUGCAUUCUCUGUUUGCUAGUGUUGUGACAUCUGCCUUCAGCAAUGACCUGGUUGUAAGAGGGAUUUUUAACAAUGUAACUAGUAGCUUUCUCAAUAGCAUGGGGACAGCUCAGAAAUUCAGUUGUUUGAUGGAGAAUGUCCACAUCUCAUGAUACCUAGGAGAUGCCAGGAGUCUGUUUCUGUCAGGAGAAUCCCAGCUCUAAAAACUUGCCAUAGUAAGAAGAUUUGUUUUUAAUUAUUGUUGUUUAGUUUGGUUUUCUUUUGAAUAAAGCUAUUUAACUGGCACAGGUGGCCAUAAAAUUACCAAGUAAAUUCAAGAUGAACUGUCAGUAACAAAAUGUGUUUAAAAGUCCUACUAUUGAGACAUUUCAUGUUUAUCUUGAGGAUAUGUCCAGAAAAAUAUGUGCAGGUUUUAUAUAUUUAUUUCAUAUAUAUAAUAUACAAUAUAAAUGU